rnacentral:tRNA from 1 species
GACAGAUGAUUAGCCUCUAUCUGAAAAACAAGGGGUCGGCAGUUCGAUUCUGCCUCUGGCCACCA